AUAAAAUAGCAGCUAUUCAUAAAGAAAGAAAAUAGAGAAUUGAUAUUCUCAGAUUAUAAAAUAGUAGCAACUCAUAAAGGAGGAAAAAGGAAAAUGAUAUUCUCAAGUUGCAAAAUGAUGACUUUGUCAGCCUUCUAAACUUGUUUCCCUCUUUCUCUUCAAAUGUCUUGGUGCCACUUUUGAUGGAUCACCCUUAACAAAAAGUAUGUCCUUGUUUGUGACAUUAUCAUUGCGGAUUAGAGGCCCUUACUGCAACUUUAUCUUGCCACUCUCAAUAAGGCUUUGAAUCUUGAAUCUUAAUGCUGGAUAAUCUUCAAUGUCAUGUCCUUAAAUAUUUGAAUGAUAGGCACAAAUUUUGGAUAAAUCAAAGUUUGGAGAUGGAUACUUAGGUUUGAAUCCCUUUUUGGGUUGCAAAAGUCCCUUAGUUCUCAACCUCUCAAAUAUAUAGGCUAAUGGCUCAUUCAAAGGAGUGAACAAAAAACAUUUCAUUUUCUUCUGUGGCCGCAAGGUAGAUUGUGCUUAAAUAAAUUGUUGCUGGGAGCUAUUUUAGAAAUUUUGCUGACAAAGAGUCUGGAGGUGCACAUUAUGGAGGUCAGAAGAAGCAUGAGAUUGUGAAAAUUGGUGAAUUUGAAGGCAUUGUGGUUGAUGCAAAAAAACUGUGUUGUUUACAUUUUAUGAAUUUCUCGAUGUCUUUGAUUGGACAAAUCGUGUUGCUUCUACAAAUUUUCUUUCUUGAAUGCCAUUUUCUACCUCUUUUCCAAUUUGAAACGAAUCAAAAAAGUUGUGUGCACAAGUUCCAAUCAACUUAUCAUAAAAUAGGCCUUCUUGAAUUUGAAUGAAAGAUGAGAUCAAUUCAUCCUUAGGAAGUGGAGAAUGUAUUUUUCAAGCUUCUAAUCUCCAUCACAUGGCAUAUUCUUGAAAGGAUUCAUGUGACAACUUCUUUACUUUGAGCAAAUAGGUCAUGUGUAGAUCGCCUCCAAUGUUAAACUCGUAUUUGCUUACAAAGUCACGAGCCAUAUCUUCCCAUGUGUGCCAUUUGCUAAAUUCUUUCUUGGUAUACCAAUUUAGCACUAAUCCUGAUAAACUUUGAAUAAAUAUACUUAUUCG
rnacentral:lncRNA from 1 species